UAGAGCAAAAAGUGAGAGUCCC
rnacentral:misc_RNA from 1 species